rnacentral:rRNA from 1 species
GACGAACGCUGGCGGCGUGCUUAACACAUGCAAGUCGAACGGAAAGGCCUGCUUUCCCUUGUGGAUUGCGGGUACUCGAGUGGCGAACGGGUGAGUAACACGUGAGUGAUCUGCCCCCAACUUGGGUAUAAGCCUGGGAAACUGGGUCUAAUUCCCGAUAGGACUGCAGGGUGGUGUCUGUGGUGGCAGACGAUUUUCUAGUGGUUGGGGAUGAGCUCGCGGCCUAUCAGCUUGUUGGUGGGGUAAUGGCCUACCAAGGCGGCGACGGGUAGCCGGCCUGGGAGGGUGGACGGCCACAUUGGGACGGAGAUACGGCCCAGACUCCUACGGGAGGCAGCAGUGGGGAAUAAUACACAAUGAGCGGAAGCCUGAUGCAGCGACGCCGCGUGGGGGAUGACGGCCUUCGGGUUGUAAACUCCUUUCGACCGCGAGGAAGCCACCUGGUUGGAAGGGUGGUGACGGUAGUGGUAGAAGAAGCACCGGCUAACUACGUG